UAAAAAAAUCUUUCCAAUUUGUAAACCCACCGUUUCUCUAGAUACAUCCCAGUUCCCACAUCGUUUUUCUCACCGCUAAAAUGCUCAACGCGCUGCUUGCCUCUACUCUCCCCGUCUUCCACCUCGCCCCAUCUGCUAAAAUCUCUUCGAUUCUACCAACCGCCGCAACCGUUCAGACUUUCCCAGAGGAUGGGAAAGGGAUCGCCAAUUUGAAAUCAGCUCUUCAGGUGCAGAAUGAACAACUAAUCAAUGUGGGAAACUUUUGGAAAUGUAUAUAACUGUAACUUAGAAAUCUCCCAUUUGGAUUGCACUUAUGCUUUGAAUGCAAAGUAAAUAAAAUGUAAUGUAACUUAAAGAGUUAUUUUAGAAAUGAAUGGGUUGAUUUGUGAUUUUA